CACCUACGGGAGGCAGCAGUGGGGAAUAUUGCACAAUGGGCGAAAGCCUGAUGCAGCGACGCCGCGUGAGGGAUGACGGCCUUCGGGUUGUAAACCUCUUUCAGCAGGGACGAAGCGCAAGUGACGGUACCUGCAGAAGAAGCACCGGCUAACUACGUGCCAGCAGCCGCGGUAAUACGUAGGGUGCAAGCGUUGUCCGGAAUUACUGGGCGUAAAGAGUUCGUAGGCGGUUUGUCGCGUCGUUUGUGAAAACCAGCAGCUCAACUGCUGGCUUGCAGGCGAUACGGGCAGACUUGAGUACUGCAGGGGAGACUGGAAUUCCUGGUGUAGCGGUGAAAUGCGCAGAUAUCAGGAGGAACACCGGUGGCGAAGGCGGGUCUCUGGGCAGUAACUGACGCUGAGGAACGAAAGCGUGGGUAGCGAACAGGAUUAGAUACCCUGGUAGUCCACGCCGUAAACGGUGGGCGCUAGGUGUGGGUUCCUUCCACGGAAUCCGUGCCGUAGCUAACGCAUUAAGCGCCCCGC
rnacentral:rRNA from 1 species